CAUCUUCGAUCUGCUGCGGACAGAUGUAGUGGAUGUGGCUAUCGAACCCACCCGCGGUGACAAUACGGCCUUCACCCGCAAUGGCCUCUGUCCCAGGGCCAACGAUGAUGUCAACCCCCGGUUGCGUGUCAGGGUUUCCGGCCUUCCCAAUCUUGAGGAUGCGCCCGUCUUUUAGGCCGAUGUCUGCCUUAUAGAUCCCUGUAUGAUCAACAAUUAGCGCAUUGGUGAUGACGGUAUCGACGGCACCUGCAGUGUGGGUUAUUUGGCUUUGCCCCAUGCCAUCGCGGAUG
rnacentral:sRNA from 1 species